GACGAACCGUGCGAACGUUAUUCGGAAUCACUGGGCUUAAAGGGCGCGUAGGCGGGUCAUCAAGUCCGGGGUGAAAUCCCACGGCCCAACCGUGGAAGUGCCUUGGAUACUGGAGACCUCGAGGGGGAUAGGGGCGUGCGGAACUCAGGGUGGAGCGGUGAAAUGCGUAGAUAUCAGGAGGAACACCGAUGGCGAAGGCAGGUCUCUGGGCAUUAACUGACGCUGAGGAGCGAAAGCAUGGGGAGCGAACAGG
rnacentral:rRNA from 1 species